rnacentral:rRNA from 1 species
AACGAACGCUGGCGGCAGGCUUAACACAUGCAAGUCGAACGGGUGUAGCAAUACAUCAGUGGCAGACGGGUGAGUAACACGUGGGAACCUUCCUAGAGGUACGGAACAACUCAGGGAAACUUGAGCUAAUACCGUAUACGCUCUUGCGAGGAAAGAUUUAUCGCCUUUAGACGGGCCCGCGUAGGAUUAGGUAGUUGGUGAGGUAACGGCUCACCAAGCCUACGAUCCUUAGCUGAUCUGAGAGGAUGAUCAGCCACACUGGAACUGAGACACGGUCCAGACUCCUACGGGAGGCAGCAGUGGGGAAUCUUGGACAAUGGGCGCAAGCCUGACCCAGCCAUGCCGCGUGAGUGAAGAAGGCCUUCGGGUUGUAAAGCUCUUUUGUCAGGGACGAUAAUGACGGUACCUGAAGAAUAAGCCCCGGCAAACUUCGUGCCAGCCGCCGCAGUAA